rnacentral:lncRNA from 1 species
UCAGUACAUUUAAUUUAGCUUUACAGAUCUAAUGCAAGAGGCAUACAUAACACAGAAUCACGAUAAAUCGGAAAAAUAUCAGUUCAUAUAGUAAGAUUACUGUGAUGACAGAAAUGUCAAGAAGAACGGACCUGAUAUAGUCUUUUAAUUAGUGAAACUCAUCAGUUACAACAACUAAAUAGAAACGAUGAUUCUGGAACUGAAAUCUUCAACGUGAAAACUUCAAACAAAAGUAGCAAAAUGCCACCUUUGAUCUCAAACGACGCCCCAAUCAGAUGAACUCGAUCUGACCUCAAACUUAAUCGAAUUCAUAGUCGAAAACCAAAAAUCAUAGAAGGGAAGGUGAAAAUCUAAACCAAAACCUUAAAAAUUUCGGCCCUCUCUGCCCGAAUUCUUCUGUCCGAUUUUCUCCUCUCUCGCUCCCUGUGUAUAUGCGGUUGUGUGUGUCGAGUUCCUGGCGUGGAGGAGAUGUGGUGGGUCUUAGGUUGAAGCUUAGGGGUUGCGUCUCUUAUGAAGUGAAGAAGAAGAGCCGCUCCUGGAGGUGUCUUUCUCUUAGGGAUUUUUUAGGGAUUUUUAGGUUAAUGAAGGGUGAGGAAGAAGGGUCCAAACGGCUGGGGGUCUUCUUUUUGGUUUGUAGGGUUAGGUAAGGGUUAGUGGGUAUUGGGCUUAAUGGGCUAAUCCGAAAAUUGGGCCUAAAAAUGGAUUGUUUGAGCCCAAAUUUUGUUCUUUCUCAUUGAAUAAGACUAAAAAUACUACCUCAUUUACUAAUUAAUCCUACUUAAGUAAAAUAACUAUUAAAAUAAAACUAACCGUUAAAACAAACCUAUUUUUGGUAUUUUUCAAAUAUCAUACUAAAAGAUAAAAAUGGAAUUAGAUUAAAAUUAUUCCAAAAUUAAAAUAAUAUUCCUACCAAACUACUAAUAUUCCUGAAACAAGUGGAACUAUUUUUGUAUUUUUGAAUUUUAUAAAAGGUCGAUAAACUAAAAGUAACAAAACAAAAUAUCAAUCACCUAAAUAAAAGAAAAAUAUUUUUUUGUAAUUUUUAUUUUUGUGACAAAUAAAGUAAAAGAGUCAAAACUAGUUGAAAUAGCGAUAUUAGGCCUAAACUAAAUAUUUAAAUGCUGAAAUAUGUAGAAUCUUGGGGAGGGUCAAAAAUUACAUGUCUACAGCUGCCCCUCUUUGACUGGAAACAUGAAGAAUUUUCAGACAAAGAACGACGAGACAGGUUUUUUGACCCGACCCUUAUUUAGAGAGACCAAAAAACUAAAAGAAAGGAGAAUGUGACUGAGCCCUGGUAUCUGAGCGGCCUACAUAUCCUUGGCUAUAAAGGAAUCAGGCCACGUGUAUUUCAGAAUUAGGAAGAGGUGGAGAGCCAAUUGAGGUGUCGUCGAGGUUCCGGUCGCGGUCCUAUUAUUGCAUCAAAAUCAAAAAAUGAAAAAGAGUAACUAAGCUUGUCAGCUAUGAGUUACAAGAUUCCUAUCUAUAAGUCUUCUAAAGCUUGAUCUUGAGUCUUGAACAGUUCUUCAUGCAAACUUUGAUUUGAACCUUGAUGCUUGCUAGUUGCAGGUGUUGAUUCAUUCUUCCACGACUUCUUCGGAUCAAGACCGGACAUUUAGUGCCCGUUACUUCAGCUAUUUCUAACUUGAAUUGAAUUCUAAAAUGACUUCCCUCGUUCUCCAGGUGGGUGCUCGCUACUGACUUGAAACUUGAAAUAAUUCUUAAACGAAUUCCCUCAUUCUCCAGGUGGGUGCCUGCAAUCAAAAUAUCAAAACAAACAAAAUUUUCGGCCCCAACUUGCACUAGGAAGAUUUGUGAGUUGUUAACAAAACUGUAAAUCACUUAUGUUACUGAUGAAAUGAUAAGAGUAAACUAAAGACUCGACUAGGAUGUGCGUCUCAUGUGAGUAAAACCAAGAAAAUUUGACUAGCAAAUUCAUUAGAAUGUGUCUUCUAUCUUAGAAGAAAGAUUCAUCAGACUAAGAUUUCUAUCCUAGGAGAAAAUUCAUUAGACUAGGUCCUCUAUCUUAUUAUCUUAUGAGAAAGAUUCAUCCAACUAAGAUUUGAUCCUAGGAGAAAGUUCAUCAGACUAGGUCGUCUAUCUUAGGAGAAAGAUUCAUCAAACUAAGAUUUGAUCCUAGGAGAAAGUUCAUCAGACUAGGUCCCUUUUUGUUAACUUAAGAGAAAGAUUCAUCAGACUAAGAUUUCUAUCCUAGGAGAAAAUUCAUUAGACUAGGUGUUCUAUCUUAGGAGAAAAACUCAUCAGACUAAGAUUUCUAUCAUAGAAGAAAAUUCAUCAGACUAGGUAUUUAUUCUUUUUUUUUAUUAUCUUAGGAGAAAGAUUCAUCAGACUAAGAUUUGGUCCUAGGAGAGAGUUCAUCAUAUUAAGGCUUCUAUAUUAGGAGAAAGAUUCAUCAGACUAAGAUUUUAUCCUAGGAGAAAAUUCAUCAAACUAGGUUUUUCUAUAUUAGGAGAAAGAUUCAUCAGACUAAGAUUUCGAUCCUAGGAGAAAAUUCAUCACACUAAGUUUUCUAUCUUAGGAGAAAAAUUCAUCAGACUAAGAUUUUUAUUGGGAGGAAAAUCCAUCAGACUAGGACUUUUUAUCCUAGGAGGAAAAAUGUAAAGAGCAAUGACAACAUUUUAUGCACACUAGCAAGACAGAUAAAGACAAAGAUUUGAGAAACUUCCCUUUGUCGGCUCUUCUAUUCUUUUUUUCUUUUUCUUUUUUUUUGAACCAACUUGCUUGCACUGCUUUGUUCCUGUUUCAAACAAAGAAAACUUGUGAGUAUAAAAUAUGGUGGUGAGUUUGUGGUCUUGACUACGAGGGCGAUUUCUCUUGCACUUGUCACGAUCAACUUGGUUAUCAACUUGGAAGACAGUGCUUGCUAUCGGCCGACUGCUUUUUUGGACCGCCCUUAUCACAAGAAAUUUUCCUGAUUCGUUCAAAUCCAAUACUUUAUGCCCGAUAUAUUGCAUUCGUGUUCUAACAUUCACCAGUGCAUUUUACCUCAAUCCCAAAAACAUCUAUUACCACCAACUCAGUGCACCCACUAUUUUCAUGCGUCUUAUGCCAAUUUGAUGUGCUUGCUAGACAUCGGCUUCAUGUGAUUAAAAAGCAGGUAGCAGAUUUUGAAGUCAUUUCUCACUUGUUUCGACAAAAACAGACUCAAAAGGGACCCAACAAAACAAGAGGAACAAGAUAAGGAGACAAACGAGAAGAGAUGGUAUCUAACAAGCAAAAAACUUUUACCCAGAAAAAAGAACAAAGUCGGAACUAAUAUGAUUUGAAGGCCAUCUCCACUGACCAUGACAUGCAUUUUGGAUUAAGCGGUCUGAUCUGUCAAGCGAGUCUAAUCUUUAACUCUUGUUAUGCCUCUAAGUUGUGAAACUGGACUUCAACGCUCCAAUUGUCCUAUUUGAUCUACACUCCUCAGUCGACUUGUAGUGCCCUGAAGGGUUUUCACCAUCAAGCCUCUCUUAUUUUUCUCUUUUUCUCAACUCACCGUCGCCUCACGGUGCCCAUGAGGGUUUUCACCGAUAAGACUCUCUCAUUUUAUCAUUUUCUCUCUUUGUACUGCGAAAAAGGUAUUACCCAUAAUGCAGGAAGAUCACACUUUUACCAUACACUUGAUUUGGCAUCCUCAAAGAUUGGUCGGAAGGUCUUUCUUUGGACCGUAAUGUAGGCUUUCGGACAUGGUUGGAAAGAAAGGGUGGCGUGAAGGCUCAAAAUAAUUUAAGAUGAAAGGAUUCAAAAUUACAACUUUUGGAAUCAGGUCUUUUAGCCAAAUUAAAACUUCUGGCCCGGUUUCUUGGAAUUUGGGGAUUUUUUUUAUUUUAUUUUUUUGCUUUUUGUUUGGAUUUUUCCUUUGUUGGGAUUUCAAAUAAAGGCUGCCUCACUCUUGACUUCGUGGGAUUAUAAAGUAUUUUAUUUGGUGUGACCAAACCGUAAGGCUGCCUACGUAUCUUGAGGUGACAAGAAUCAGGUCGAACGUAGUUCAAACACAAAGUUGGUUUUUUUCUUUUCUUUUUCUUAUUUUUCUCUUUUCUUUUCUUUUUCUUCUUUUUCUUUUUUAGUUCCUAACUCUACUUCUGAUUCCAAAAGAGAGGUAUGGAACAAAACAAAUUAAGACUCAAAAGGCGUAGCAAAAAAUAAAAGUGUUUGGGUAGCAGAAUAAAAUACCUUCGUCAUACCAAACUUUAAAAAUGCCAAGUACAAACAUGAAAUUGAAGAUAAUCAAAGAAAUCAUACACAGUAUCUAUUGAUGGCAUCAACACAAACACAAAGUGUCGACGGACAAUAUCUUUGUCCUAAUGAAUUAUCCUUGCUAGUUCGAAGCAGACUUGAUUCAAACUUAUCUUGAUGUGGAAGAAUGCAUUUUAGCACUGACUGAUCUACCUCAAACUGCUUGAGAGACAUUCUCUUGUUGUAUGCUCUCAUAAACUUCUUGAAUUUCCAGACUAACUGCCUCAGUUUCAUUCAAUUCAAGCUUCAGGUUAUCUCAGAAUGCGUGAAUCUUUACUUAUUUCCUCAAAUGCCUCCUUUUUAUCAUAUUCAAAACUAUGUCAUUGCUUCAUGAUUAGACUGAUUUUCAAGACCAAGCUGAGAAUUAUGCGUGCAUGUUAUGUCACCAGAGUUAGCAUGAAAAGAACUAUAAAAGGAAAGGUGACCUAAACAAAAACUGACUACAACUAACAGAAAACAAGAGAUUGCAUUAGACAGAUGGUGAAAAAGGGUUUGAACAAAACAAGCAAAAUAGACAUAGGUUACAACCCUGGAACAAUCCUAAAUAACACUAGACGAGUUACUACAACUAAACAAACUAGACAAAAUAAGAAAAAGAAGAAGAAGAAGAGUUUGAGCCACAAGACAAUUUUCGGAUUACAACCCCGAAAUAACCCGGACAACAGAAAUGACAACAAAAUAAACCAGUAAAACUCCUUGGCUAGCCAAGAAAGGAGUGUCUUCCCAAUCACCAAACUCGACAUCUUAACCACUGAGUUCCAUAUCAAUAUUACUAGGACCUUCACCAACUUCAAUCAAAUUGUCUUCACCAAGUGGCUCAUUGACUCCUUUGACCAACCCUUCGUCAUUGCAAACCAUCCCAACAAUUUGUGCAUUGUCAUGUACCUGUAGAGGAUUAUGUGUGAUACUUAGGAUAUUACUGCCUUGGACCACAAUUAUCCCUUCUUGAAUCAUUAUUUCUAUUUCUUUUUUCAAGGCACGAUGACCUUCAACAUUGUUCCCCUGGGCAUUGGAAUGGUAUUCACACCUUUUAGAAGGGUCAGAGCUUCUUGCAUGUGGGUCCACAUGAUUUGGAGAAAUAGGUGAAAUCAUGUCAUAAUGCUUUAAUUUCUCAAACAAGCUUGCAUAGGACUCUCCUAUCAGUGUAAAUUUUUCUUUCAACCUUUGUUUACCUCUAUACCCCUGACGUGGAUGUGGCUUAUGGGGCACUUGAAAAUUUUUUGGAGGCUGGUGGAGAUUUUGCGGUGCUGGCGCUCGCCUUCUGGGGUGUCUUGGUGGCUGGACAACAUACUGGAGUGGAGCAACAUAGUAUUGUGUGUUCUUAGGGGAAUCUUCAAAAAACAAACGAGGCUGGUCAUGCCUUCGAGAUGUUCUUCUAGGACAUCUUCUCGACCCUGAUGUCAUCAUGAUUUCUUCAACCUUCUCAUUCGUGCCACUAAAAUUACCAGAUUCAAUUGGGACAGCCUGAGUUGCAGCUUUGAGAGCUGCUUGACUUAUAAUUUUGCCUGUUUUAAGGCCAUUCUCUACCAUUUCUCCCAUUUUGAUUGCUUCUGAUAAUGAAUUGCCAACUGCAAACAUCAUGUUUGAAAGUAAUCGGGCUCUUGAUCCUGAAGGAAGAUAGUGAUUAGCUCAUGGUCAUCCAUGGGUGGCUUAACUCUAACUACUUGUUCUCUCCAUUUAAUGGCAUAUUCCCUGAUACUUUCAGUUGGUUUCUUCUUCAGGUUUGAAAGGGAAUUGCGGUCUGGGGAAAUGUCGAUGUUAUAUUGAAACUGUUUGACAAAGGCCUGGGCCAUGUCAUCCUAUACAUACCAGCAAGAUGUGUCUUGACCCAUAAACCAUUCGGAGGCUACACCUAUAAGGCUUUCCCCAAAAUAAGCCAUCAGUAAUUCUUCAUUUCCUCCCGCACCUCUUAGUUGAUUGNNNNNNNNNNNNNNNNNNNNNNNNNNNNNNNNNNNNNNNNNNNNNNNNNNNNNNNNNNNNNNNNNNNNNNNNNNNNNNNNNNNNNNNNNNNNNNNNNNNNNNNNNNNNNNNNNNNNNNNNNNNNNNNNNNNNNNNNNNNNNNNNNNNNNNNNNNNNNNNNNNNNNNNNNNNNNNNNNNNNNNNNNNNNNNNNNNNNNNNNNNNNNNNNNNNNNNNNNNNNNNNNNNNNNNNNNNNNNNNNNNNNNNNNNNNNNNNNNNNNNNNNNNNNNNNNNNNNNNNNNNNNNNNNNNNNNNNNNNNNNNNNNNNNNNNNNNNNNNNNNNNNNNNNNNNNNNNNNNNNNNNNNNNNNNNNNNNNNNNNNNNNNNNNNNNNNNNNNNNNNNNNNNNNNNNNNNNNNNNNNNNNNNNNNNNNNNNNNNNNNNNNNNNNNNNNNNNNNNNNNNNNNNNNNNNNNNNNNNNNNNNNNNNNNNNNNNNNNNNNNNNNNNNNNNNNNNNNNNNNNNNNNNNNNNNNNNNNNNNNNNNNNNNNNNNNNNNNNNNNNNNNNNNNNNNNNNNNNNNNNNNNNNNGGCAAAUGAACAUCGGGGAACAUACAUAGAUCCUUGAAGGCAAUACUUUUCUGACCUGCCAGUCCUUGUAUGUUUUUCAACUGUUGUUCUAAGCUUUUCAGUCUUUGGGUUACUUCUUCCAGUGCUAUCUUUCGGGUAGGCAUCUCAAUCUUUGCAGGAAGAUCAAAUAGGUAAGAGUGGUACUCAUGAGAGUGGUAUUGUUGUUGGGUAGCAAAUUGUAACUCAUGAGUUUUCCUCUGCACCACUGUAGGCUGUGGGAUGGUGAAGACAAGCAUAACUGUAGUGGUUGUAUGAUUGGUUGUCAAAGGCACACUUUGGGAGUGCGCAGCAGAAGUUCCAGCUAUAGUCAUACAAUUAGGAUAAAGGCUGAACCUAAAUGGAUAGAAUUGAUCAGACAAUGAAUCGGACUGGUAGUAGUCGAGAUGGAUGUAAACUCUGGGAAAACAUAAGAAAGGGGUGGUCCUUAACCAUUGGCCCAUACUGGACACAUUUAAGACAUUUGUUGUUCCAGCCUUUGGACCUCCUCUUUCGAUUCAGAUUCCGAUUCCACAAUCUCCCUCGAAGGGUCAACAACUCUUGUGUCCAAGUCUUUGCUAGCCAUGGCUACCUUGCUCUUUGACCUUGUGUUGUACAGAUGACUCGCCAAAGUUCCACAAACUAACCACCCUCUGUUAUGAUAAUAAUGAAAGUAACAAAGGGGAGCAAAACAAAGCCAACAUAUUAGCGUUAGGGCAUUUAUCAGAUAGAAAUAUCAUAUUGCAUGCAAUACCCCUAGCAACAAUUAACGGUUCUAGAAUGACUUCGAGGGUUACAAUGUCAUUUGGCAUCAUCUCAAUGUUGUUCAUUUCAAUUUUCUCUUUUCUUUCUUUUCUAGUACUUCUUGGCUCUCUCAUUUUCCUCUCUCUUUUUCUUUUUAAUUGUCACUCUUUUCCUUCCUCUCACUUCUCACAUUCACAAUUUCAUCUUCUUUUUUUCUCUUUUUUUAGCCUUUUAAAAAAAUGAUUCGAUCGAACCCUAUGUAGGUUGUCUACGUAUCAUGUCCCUCAUGAAUCAGAUCAAAUGUAGUUCUAAAAAAGUAAUGGACAAAAUAAACUAAGAAACAAAAAUCUUUUUGAAUUUUUCAUUUUUAAUUUUUUUUGGUUUUUCAAAUACAAAAUAGAAUUUACGAUAAUGAAAGACUCAAAAAACUCAAAUAGACUAUGAUAGUCUCUGACAUCACCUAAAAGACCCAGUACUACAGGACAGGAUUACAAAGGGAAAGACAAACAUAAAAACAGACUCAAAACAUAAAAAGGCUCUUUAAGCAGCUCCUGAAUGCAAUAGUCCUGGGGUAUCUGUCAUGCUCGAGUACUAGUACAUGGAUACACACCUGAAUGAGAAAAAUAAGACCAAAUAGAUUAGUGACUCAAGACAUUAUGGAACCUCCUAUUGACACAUGCAAGAAAUGAUUGGUCUAUUUUUGCAAAAUGGCAUAUGUGGCCAAAAGUGACUAUUAGUGCUAACUCAAAAUAAAGGUGACCUCAAAGACAAUGAAAAUACCUCACUAAGACUUAUAUGGAUUCAAACUCCCGAUAAUCAUGACCCAAAAUUAAUUUGCAGAAAUAACUCAUUCUGGCAAAAAUGACCAAUAUGGCCAAAAGUGGAUAAAGAUGCAAACUCAAAAAGGAUGAACCUUAAAGUAAUAUGACACCUAGUUGUGGACUCAAGAACCUAAGACAUGGGUCAUUGAACCACUUUUGCAAAAAUGACCCCAUUUUGCAAGAAUGACCGAUGUGGCCAAAAGUGACUAGACAUGCAAAUUCAACAGGAAUGGGCCUUGAAGUAAGGAGACAGCUAAUUGUGGAUUCUAGACUCUCCAAAUUCGAUUCAACAAGCCACUUCGCAAAAUAGCUCUAAUUUGCGACAAGACCGAUAUGGCCAAAAGUGGCUAGACAUGUAAGAUUUGGCUAAGACCCUACGAAGCCAAGAACCUAAGACUUACUAUGAAGACCGGACCCUAUGUGGGCUGCCUACGUAUCCCGCCCUGAAAGACGAGAAUCAGGUAUGCGUAGUUCAGGAAGAUUGAAUACAGAAAGUAAUUAAAAAAAACUGAUUUGGAGAAAACAUAUUUUUUUUGUUUUUCUUUUGUUUUUUGUUUUUUGUUUUUUGUGAAAUAUGUAAAAUCUUUUUGGAUUUUCUUUUCUCUUUUUUUUUUGAAAAAUGAUGGGAAAGUGCAAAAUCUUUUUGGAUUUUUCAUUUUCAUUUUUUGUCUUUUUCUUGAAAAAAAUUGUGAAAGAAAAAUAUAAUUGGGCUUUACUUGUUUCAUCUUUAUACUUCACCCUCUUUCCCAAACAUCAGUCCGCCAAAUGACCUCCUACCCUGAAAGAUGCAACAUGUAUCACAUAAGAAUGAUUGAAUGUCUUUUUGGGUCACGAGCCCAUUUUGACAAAAUUUGGAUAGGCCUCCUACAGAGGGACACGGUACCUGGGACCGAACCCUGCUAAGUGUAAAUGACAUGAUGCAAAUAAGCAUGACCUAAAGGCUGACCUAAGUUUGGGGUUCACUAGACAAGGCAAUUCGGGGCGACACGUGGUCGAUGGCGGUUGGUCUAACUGUCCGUCCACUCCCACGCCACCCCCUAAAGACACGGGUAACUCACAAAAAGGUCAUGUAUGCUCAAACGUACUCCGGAAGACUUGUUACAGAAAAAGACCCAUGGUUAUGUAGAUGAUGACAAUUAUAAAGCGGUAAACACAUAAGGAAAAGCAUAAACAAAUAACCAACAAAACAGCAAAUAAGACAAACAAACCAAAUAGACAAAGCAAAUAAAAAAAAUAAACACCUCAACCGAAUAUCCUAAAAGUCAACAAGAUCAAGUAUCAGCUCGAACCUGCAACUCCCCAGCAGAGUCGUCAAAGCUGUCAAACCCCUUUUUCACAAACCUCACUAACCCUCUUUAAAUCAAUAAAAAGAUUUUUGAAGCUCAAAAGGGUUUUCAAACUUGAAAAGUGACAAAGAAUUGUGUUCAAAAGGAUUAACUCAGAGUCGCCACCUAACAUUGGUUUCGGUGUGCUAGGUCACCGUAUUUUUUAAAAAUGAUUUUUCCUUUUAAAACACUUUGGACUCUAAAACUAAGUCUGCACCAUAGAUUCAGGUAAGGGAGUACAAUUGACUCGGGGAGAAGGUAUUAGGCAUUCCCCGAGUUCCGUAACUAGUAUGGUUGCAUACAUGAUCAAGUUGGCAUUCAAAAUAUUCAAACUGAGAUAAAAAACACAGAGAAGGGAAAAUAAACACACAAGAGGCUCGAGGUCAUCUCCACCUAAAAAAGGAGGUAAAAAUUAAAUAAAAUAAGAAUAAAAAGUACUACGAGUUCGCUUUCGGCCUCCAAUUACAGAAUACUACGGGGCAUUCCCCGGAAUAAAAUAUAUACAAAUCCUUUGGGGCAUUCCCUGGAUAAAUUUAACUAAGGGAACGACCUCUCACCUCAAAACUAACAAAAAUCCUAAGGCUUGCCUACCCAAGUGUGUUCGGCCUAAACAUACUCCUAUCAAAGAAAUAAAAAUGAAAUAGUGAACAUGUAAAACUCAAAUCUCAGUUGUUUUUUACUUAAGAUCCCAAAAAUAUGUCCCCAUACAAAAUCACGUCUUUCUAAAGUAUCUUCAUGUCAAUUAACAGAAUGGACAAGAAAAUUAAUGAAAACAUUUAGAGCAAUCAUGAGGAAUUGAAAAGCAACAUACAUUGAAUUAACAAAAAAUUACAAUGAGAUCAAACCCCUAAACAAAAUAAAUACUCCAGCACUAAAAUUCUUGUUUUCAUGAUUCUUAUGAAAGAAAGCAAUAGCAUACUGCUACACUUUAUCGGAAAACAAAAAUGAGUGAUCCUAACAAUUCAUAUUAGUCGCGGCGUGAUGGCGCCUUGUUAAAAUUAAAGCUAGCAGGAAGCACCCAAGACUAACUAGAGGCAUGAGUCACGGAUUCCAAUUUAGAGCACAUGAAACUUACACAUGAAAUUGAAAUGAGCCUAAUAGUUCAAUCGAAAUUUAAGCUAAAAGCUAAAGAAAUCAGUAAAUGAAAUGUCAAACAAACUAUGAGAUCAAAGAACCAAUCUACAUAUUUAGAACCUACGCCAAAUUUGUUAUUUGUAAUUGAAACUAAUCAAACUACAAUAAGGGAGAAAAUCAAUAGUAGAAAAAUUAGCUAUGCCAAGAAGUCAUGCUGAUUGCUGCAAUUUCAGUACAUUUAAUUUAGCUUUACAGAUCUAAUGCAAGAGGCAUACAUAACACAGAAUCACGAUAAAUCAGAAAAAUAUCAGUUCAUAUAGUAAGAUUACUGUGAUGACAAAUAUGUCAAGAAGAACGGACCUGAGAUAGUCUUUUAAUUAGUGAAACUCAUCAGUUACAACAACUAAAUAGAAAUGAUGAUUCUGGAAUUGAAACCUUCAACGUGAAAACUUCAAACAAAAGCAGCGAAAUGCCACCUUUGACCUCAAACAAUGCCCCAAUCAGAUGAACUCGAUCUGACCUCAAACUUAAUCGAAUUCAUAGUCGAAAACCAAAAAUCAUAGAAGGAAAGGUGAAAAUCUAAACCAAAACCUUGAAAAUAUCGGCCCUCUCUGCCCGAAUUCUUCUGUCCGAUUUUCUCCUCUCUCGCUCCCUGUGUAUAUGCGGCUGUGUGUGUCGAGUUCCUGGCGUGGAGGAGAUGUGGUGGGUCUUAGGUUGAAGCUUAGGGUUGCGGCUCUUAUGAAGUGAAGAAGAAGAGCCGCUCCUGGAGGUGUCUUUCUCUUAGGGAUUUUUUUAGGGGUUUUUGGGUUAGUGAAGGGUGAGGAAGAAGUCCAAACGGCU